rnacentral:rRNA from 1 species
GAGUUUGAUCCUGGCUCAGAACGAACGCUGGCGGCAGGCCUAACACAUGCAAGUCGAGCGCACCCCUUCGGGGGCGAGCGGCGGACGGGUUAGUAACGCGUGGGAACGUACCCUUGUCUACGGAAUAGCCAUUGGAAACGAUGAGUAAUACCGUAUACGCCCUUCGGGGGAAAGAUUUAUCGGACAAGGAUCGGCCCGCGUUAGAUUAGAUAGUUGGUGGGGUAAUGGCCUACCAAGUCUACGAUCUAUAGCUGGUUUUAGAGGAUGAUCAGCAACACUGGGACUGAGACACGGCCCAGACUCCUACGGGAGGCAGCAGUGGGGAAUCUUAGACAAUGGGCGCAAGCCUGAUCUAGCCAUGCCGCGUGUGUGAUGAAGGCCUUAGGGUCGUAAAGCACUUUCGCUAGGGAUGAUAAUGACAGUACCUAGUAAAGAAACCCCGGCUAACUCCGUGCCAGCAGCCGCGGUAAUA